rnacentral:rRNA from 1 species
GAUGAACGCUGGCGGCGUGCCUAAUACAUGCAAGUCGAGCGAACGGACGAGAAGCUUGCUUUUCUGAUGUUAGAGGCGGACGGGUGAGUAACACGUGGAUAACCUACCUAUAAGACUGGGAUAACUUCGGGAAACCGGAGCUAAUACCGGAUAAUAUUUUGAACCGCAUGGUUCAAAGGUGAAAGACGGUCUUGCUGUCACUUAUAGAUGGAUCCGCGCUGCAUUAGCUAGUUGGUAAGGUAACGGCUUACCAAGGCAACGAUGCAUAGCCGACCUGAGAGGGUGAUCGGCCACACUGGAACUGAGACACGGUCCAGACUCCUACGGGAGGCAGCAGUAGGGAAUCUUCCGCAAUGGGCGAAAGCCUGACGGAGCAACGCCGCGUGAGUGAUGAAGGUCUUCGGAUCGUAAAACUCUGUUAUUAGGGAAGAACAUAUGUGUAAGUAACUGUGCACAUCUUGACGGUACCUAAUCAGAAAGCCACGGCUAACUACGUG